AAAGAUGUGUUUGGACAUGGAAUUUAUGACAAAAUCAGCAAUCAUGUGCCUAAUACAGCAUCUGCUUCACAACCAAAUGGUGACUCACAGGUAUCUGAUUCAAGAAAUGUUGCACCAGAAGCAAACAUGUCUAAUACCAGGGAAGCUUAUAAUGACGUCGCUCCCCUGAAAAGUGUACCUUCUGGUCCUACCUCUGAGAUGGACAUGAUGGUCUAUGACUCAUCAAAUAAUGGAAGAUUAACUGAUGAUCAACAAAAAGCAGAACUCCCACAGAAGGAAUCUUCAUAUGUUCAGAAAAACCAACCAAACCCUUAUAGGAAUGUUGGGGAUGCACUUGAUGAAUGGAAGGAAAGGGUCAAAGUGUCUGUUGAUCUUGAGGCAGACAACAAAGAGGCACCUGGUGAGCUAGAGGACAAGAAUGCUGAUGAAUAUGGAUAUGUUCCUGAGUUUGAAAAGGGGACAGCUCAAACAUUGGCCCCUGCUACUUCUGAGCAGAUUGACACAAAUAUUGAUAGUAAUAAACCAGACGAGGAUAAUUGUGCAGCAGUAAGUGAUGAUGUUACCAAAAUGGAUAUUGAUAAGCACAAUUCUGAAGAAGGGCAUCUCAAACAUUAUGGCG
rnacentral:misc_RNA from 1 species